rnacentral:rRNA from 1 species
AUUGAACGCUGGCGGCAUGCUUUACACAUGCAAGUCGAACGGUAACGGGCCGCAAGGUGCUGACGAGUGGCGAACGGGUGAGUAAUGCAUCGGAACGUGCCCAGUCGUGGGGGAUAACUGCUCGAAAGAGCAGCUAAUACCGCAUACGAUCUAUGGAUGAAAGCGGGGGACCGUAAGGCCUCGCGCGAUUGGAUCGGCCGAUGUCAGAUUAGGUAGGUGGUGGGGUAAAGGCUCACCAAGCCAACGAUCUGUAGCGGGUCUGAGAGGACGACCAGCCACACUGGGACUGAGACACGGCCCAGACUCCUACGGGAGGCAGCAGUGGGGAAUUUUGGACAAUGGGGGCAACCCUGAUCCAGCAAUGCCGCGUGCAGGAAGAAGGCCUUCGGGUUGUAAACUGCUUUUGUACGGAACGAAACGGUCUGGGUUAAUACCCUGGGCUAAUGACGGUACCGUAAGAAUAAGCACCGGCUAACUACGUGCCAGCCGCCGCAGUAAAAC